AAAAUGGCUUUUUAAGACAUUUAGGUUGUGGGAUUUUGGUUAAAAACUUGAUAACCAUAAAACUCUACUGGGAAUGUUUUUGUCAUGGUUCUGCUCUGCUCCUUCACCCCACCCUUUCUUCCUCCACUCUAAUUUCAUUCACCUGUGUUAAUUAAGUUCUCAUUGGGCUCCAGUUGGUGUUCACACUAUUUAAGGUCCUCACUUUCACCUCCUCACUGCCAGUUUGUUGAAUCAGUCACGGUCCCGCUAGUUAAAAUCUUUGUACUUUGAGUCUCUUCAUGGUUUUGACCCUUUUUGGCCUGGUAACGAGUUUAAGCCUUUCUGGAGUUUUUUCUGCCCUGGUUUUUCUUCCUCUGUUUCCAUCCUGAGAGAAGUGAUGUUUCCAGAUCACUCAUCUCCUCACUGAGUAAAGCUGCCCCAACACUGGUCUUCACCCUCCGGUGGAUUCUCAUCCUGUACACAGCAGCAGUGGGGGAAUCUUCCAUCAUUCCUGACACCAUCCGCCCUGCACUCAGACGCUUCAAAGGCUCUUCUCGCACGCCUGCUUCUGGAGUUCUAUGGUCACCUGUGCAUCUGGCGGCCCACUGAUUAAUUCUACCUCCCUAAUAAACACUUUAAUUGUGA